rnacentral:rRNA from 1 species
UACGGAGGGUGCGAGCGUUGUUCGGAAUCACUGGGCGUAAAGCGCGUGUAGGCGGCCCUUUAAGUCCGAUGUGAAAGCCCGGGGCUCACCCCCGGAAGUGCAUUGGAUACUGAAGGGCUGGAGUACCGGAGAGGAGGGUGGAAUUCCUGGUGUAGCGGUGAAAUGCGUAGAUAUCAGGAGGAACACCUGUGGCGAAGGCGGCCCUCUGGACGGAUACCGACGCUGAGACGCGAAAGCGUGGGGAGCAAACAGG